ACCUGCCCAGCACAAGGGGCUUGAGACCUUGGCCCCAAUCUCCCUGACAACCUGUGUCUCGAUGACUUCCCUUCCUUUUCUCCCCCAUGCUUUUGGUGUAACCAGGAAGAAGCCAGAAGAAUCGAAAACACAUUCCUUUUUUGGCAGUUUAAUAUAAUUUAUUAACUUAUCAGGCCAUUCCAUCCCAAAAUAUGAUUUGACCAGCUUUAAGAGAUGUACAUAACAGCACAAAAAAAAAAAAAAUAACAGAAAAUGGGGAAGUGAAAGCAAAGCCAAAUAAAAUGAAGCCAGGGAUUGGUCCACAAAUUGCAAAACAAAAGGGCCUGUUCAGGUUUUAGAAUUGGACAUUAAAUCCCUGAGGCUCCUGAUGGACAAAAUUUAAUCCAUUUUAAUUUCACAGUCCCUAAGAGGGAAUUAAAAUCAAUUACAAAUGUCUCAUUUCCAUAAAUUAGUUGGUCGAGAAAGGUCCCUGGAGAUGACACCUGUGCUUCUCCAGGACACACCAACCGGGUUUAGCGUGAGCUCCUGCCCCUACUACUGAUGCUGGCGCUCCAGCCUAGCUGGCCUUACCUCUCCAUCUAUUUCUGGGAAACUUCAGGAACAGGGUUGGGUUGGCGACCUCAUACGUGGUCAUGAACAAGCCCUUUCCUCUCAAGUGCUGUCCACAGAGGGAUUCUCUCCUGCCUUGCCCCCUGGGUGAAGUCUGCAGUGGAGGGUUUCAAAGUGUCUCACCACCACUUCCUGCUGGUCCCCAGUGCCUAUAAAUAUGCGGAAGCUUCUCUGUGGUCCACGAAUCCCCCCAAAGCACUGAAGCCAAGUGUGUUCUAUGUGGAAGGAGAAGACUCCUUUCUCCUUUGUGCCACAUUUGUCACCUGCCACCAAGUUAGGGCUCCCUGAGCCCCAGUGACUCGAGAUUCUAGUAGUCACAACUCUGCCAGCCUGGGCCUGUGGCUCCUCUCCUGCUUGGGCUCAGAUACAUCUGUCAUGCUGCUCCAGGACCAGCUUAGAGACUGAUUCUUGUUUUCCUGAUCCCCCUUCCCGUGGCCCUCGCCCUCUAGGGGGCACAAUUUUUAUGGGAUAUUUUUCUACAAUGAAAAUGUAAAAAAAAAAAAAAAAGUGACUUUAGAAAUAAGUAUCAUGUAAUAGCAGGCAUGAUCAGAAGCAUCUUUACACACAAAAAGAAUCACCAACAGCGCCCUCAUUAGAAAAUCAAUGUCUAUGUGACUCCCUAGUCGACUAUAGCAUGUUUAGGUAAAAUUAUCUAAUUGUAUUCUUCUUUUUACUCUUCUAAUGCUCUUGACUUAACCAAGUGGCUCUUAAAACAAAGAAGCUCUCAGCUUUGAGAAGUGGGGGAACCAAACACACACUGAAAAGAACUGGGACCUCUCAAACUCUCUGUCUCUUCCUCCAAGCAGCAUAAAAUGGGGUUACUGGGGUGCAGGCUCCUGUAGGGUUCCUAACAGAGACUAGGUGAGAGAUGCGGCACACGGAGGUGAGGAGAAAGGUCACCCACUCAGCUGCAGCAUGGGGUGGGGGAAGCAACAAUAAGGUAAGGAAGGAACCUGCCUUUGCCCCCCGAAAACAUGCAUUUAUUUGGAGGUAAGUGCAGGCUUGCUGAAAGUCAGAGGGAGGGCAAAAUGAUGCUAAAGACAUGCUAGCAGUAAUAGUGAUGCUGGGAGUGUGAAGAAACAGCCAGGAGCUGUGGGGGAAAAGGAUCCAGUGUCUACCAUCCCAGGCCUCCAGGCCCAUUUCAACUCCCUCCUCUCCUGUAAAGCCUUCCCUGCACUCCCACUGCAUGGAACACUAACCCCUUGUAGCAGAUUGGGGCAGGGGCUUGAGAUUGGUGUUUGCUAUUAACAGGUGGGGGAGCUGAGCAAUGCCCAAAUGGAGGAUGGGAUCAAAACUGAGGUUAAGGGGAGCUUUGGGAGGCUGAGGUGGGAGGAUCGCUUGAGGCCAGGAGUUCAAGACCAGCCUGGGCAACACAAGACCCCCAUCUCCCCCCCAAAAAAAAUGGGGUAAGGGAAUAUUUUGAAUGAUUAAUUUUGACUUUAGAUAUUGACUUCAUUCAGAAAGAGACCUCUCAGGCAGCUGGGUAACUCCAGCCCAACUGGAAAUGCUCUUAGAAGGGAGAAAGUAUUGGCAGAACUGAGUCCAAGAUGAGUCCAAUGGGCAGGUCUCUCCAGGCACGUGCAGGGGAGGCUUGGAUGGGAGUCACUGAGUGUGUACAUCAAUGCACGUGCUGAAUGGGCAGGCCAAGAGCCCCAUGAUGGGUGAUGGUAGACACCGGGGCUUUGAGAUGCCCAGGAGUCACCCAAGCACAGCUGGUUGGCAGGCAGCUGGGAUCCUAAGAGGAGAGGCCUAAGGUCCUUUAGGUACCUUUUUGUCCCUUCAGAGGAGCCAAUGCCCUUCUUGAGGUGGAGGGUGAAGAAAUCAAGGGGAGGCAGCCAUCUGGGGAGACGAUCCUGCCUUUAGCAGCUCACAUGAUGUAACACCCUCCCAGGGCAGCAUUUGCUGGUUUGGUUUUCCAUAACCAGGGUCUGACCUGUGGCCAGGAAGGCUGAGAAACUGUCCACCCAUUCUGCAGAGUGAAUCUACUUCCCAAGAGCAGAAUCACGCUAGCAAAGCUCAGGGUGUGUAAAACCAGAUGUCAGUUUAUCUGAGCAGCACAGACCUACUGGAGGGCGCCUGGGUGCCCAGCAAGCUCUUGGGUAGACAGCAAGCCUGGAACACUGAAGCCCCCUGAAAGAGUGCUUCUUCCAAAGGAAGUCAGGUAGACAAGGAGGAAGGGACCACCUGGGCCAUUUUCUCACCUGGCCCACACUGGCCUUGCUUUCAUGACUGAACCUCUAUUAAGAUUCAUGAGACAAGAAUGGCAGAUAAUAAACAUCAAAACUGUUCACUAAAGAUAUGAGACACUAACACACUACCAAACCCAGGGGAAAGGGUGACCAAGUGGAGAGAGGACUACCACCUCACAUCCACACAGAGCUCAGCUUGACUUCCACAGUGAGGGCUCCAGAAAACUCAGGGCUACAUGAAGAAUUCAGGGGUCAGUAACAAAGAAGACAGGGUCCAGAACAUGAUGGUAGUGGGUGGGAGUGGGGAAUGGUCUAGAUCUCCUUUGAGGGCCAUCUUCCUCUCCAUUCAGCACUAUCAAGUAGCUCUGUCCUAGGCCCAAUAUUUGAAACUGAAAUUCUUCCUUUCUCAUUAGUUUAACUACUUCGCAUACACAGAUCUCUAGUCCUAGCCUCUCCCCUAGCUGCUAGCCGACAUCCAAAUGCAUAGCAUCACCAUGAUUUCCCUUAAGCACCUCAAGUUCUAGACAUACCAAACUAAACUUCUCAUCUUCUGCCCUCCUGCUCUAUCAGCCUCUCCUCCUUGUGCUCCCAAUUCUGAAUGAGGACAUGCUCUACCCAGUCACCAAAGGCAUUCUAGCUUUCCUCUGAUGUCCUCCCCUCUGCCUCUGAGACCUUUCCCAUUCAUUCCCUCCUCCUCAGUGUCACCACUGCUCUAGUUCAGACCCUAGCCUUUAGCUGAAAUACCACAACAGUGUCCCAAAAGGCCAUCCUAAUUGCAGCAUGUCCAAGUUCCAUUCAGCUGUCAGAUUUCAACCAUGCACAUCUGAACAUUGCCCCGGGCCUGGUGUUGACACUCCAUUCACAUGUGAGGUCCUCAGUGACCUUGCUCCAGCACUCCUCUAAUAUCAGCUCCCUGUUCCCAACCUCCCAUCAUACAACCCCACCCUGAAUCCAUGCUAUUCCACACAACAGUGCCUUUCCCUGGAAUUCCCUCCCUCUCCCUCACCUCAGGAUCCUUCCUCUCAGCUCACAUUACUAGACAAUAUCACUGUAUUACUGCAGUUACUGACAUCUGCUGACUUCUAUCCAGGGUUCAUCCCAUGACCCCUGCCCCGCAGAGAUAACGUGGGCCAGAAAAGGUAAACUGGGAGGGAGUUGACGGUGAUCCUAGUGGGGCUGGUUCUUGGGAAAGGAGGUUCUGAAGCAGGGGAAGGGGUUAAGAAGGGAUAUCACUCUGUGGGAGUAGCAAAUCUCUCCACUGGCUUCCUCACAUGUUAAUAAAAGUUCCAUUCUUCAAGGCUGCUUCACAUCCACUAUCUGAUAGGUACUUCCCCAGCCCAUGAACCAAGCAGGUUAUGAAUACAUCCUAGUGUCAUAAGAGGAUGGCAGGAGGGGGAUUUUCCUUUAAAGUCCUAUGGAAACCGAAGUCCUUGGUCAACAGUUUUAAACCCUUCUAAGGAGAAACUCUGGAGGCCAAAGUGCUGCAAAUGUUAAAACCAUCCUAUGUGAACCUUUCUAACUUAGCCUGUCCAUGUGGGAGGUGAGUCUUAAGGGUCAACAUACAGAAAGCCCUGGGCAGGCCUGGGACAGGAUGGCUCAGGGUAAAAUUGUGCCAAGAACCUGGUACACAGAACAGUGGUCAAGGCCCUCUCAGUAGAUGACCAUAUACACCAGCACCUCCCACCUCAGUCUUGGCAUGGGGACCAAGAACAAAGCUUCUGCUUGCCAAAAGGAAAAGCCAGACAGACAAAAAUGUAGGGACCCCAGGCUUCUGUUAGGGUUAACCUAUGAUCAGCCAAGCAUGGCAAGAAGUAGGACUGUCCCCUGAGAAAAAGAGAACUCUUACAUCCCAUUUCCUUAGCCAAAGCAGUAUCUUAUUGGAAGAAAAAUUACUUAGGCCGCAUAUUUUUCCCAAUCUCAACCCACCUAUAUCUCUCACCCAUAUUAUUGCGAAGAUGGAAACUCACAUCAAGUAUUUUGAUAAUAGCUCAUCCUUGCUCAAAUCACUUCACCAAUUCUGGAUAUCCCAAGUCCUUUAAUCCUUAGGGAUUCUCAGUUUCCAUAUUUGUUUAAAAAAUUCAAA
rnacentral:lncRNA from 1 species